GAGACCAAGGACUUUCGGGGGAAUACCAGUGACCUUCUGGAGGGAGGGGGCAGUUGUUGGGAGAGACAGUAAGGAGAGACCUGCCUACAUGAUGAUCAUCUAGGUAAAACUGACCUACAGGGGAAAAAAGGAUGGGAAUCUCAACAUUAAGGUAAAGUAGGUUAUCUGGAAGACAGCAUCCAUCUGAAACAACUGGAUCUACUUCAGCUACUGGUGUAUCAUAGAGCAAUCAAUGGAACAGAAGCUAGCCGUUCAUGUUCCCUGUCCUGCGAAGCUUACCAAAGGGUAACAACCAGCA